UGGGGAAUUUUGGACAAUGGACGCAAGUCUGAUCCAGCCAUGCCGCGUGCGGGAAGAAGGCCUUCGGGUUGUAAACCGCUUUUGUCAUGGAAGAAACGCUCUGGGCUAAUACCCUGGGGUAAUGACGGUACCUGAAGAAUAAGCACCGGCUAACUACGUGCCAGCAGCCGCGGUAAUACGUAGGGUGCGAGCGUUAAUCGGAAUUACUGGGCGUAAUGCGUGCGCAGGCGGUUUAGUAAGACAGGCGUGAAAUCCCCGGGCUCAACCUGGGAACUGCGCUUGUGACUGCAUAGCUAGAGUACGGUAGAGGGGGAUGGAAUUCCGCGUGUAGCAGUGAAAUGCGUAGAUAUGCAGAGGAACACCGAGGGCGAAGGCAAUCCCCUGGACCUGUACUGACGCUCAUGCACGAAAGCGUGGGGAGCAAACA
rnacentral:rRNA from 1 species